rnacentral:misc_RNA from 1 species
AGGAGCUUGCGGAGGUGACGCUCGACGAAAUCAAGGCCUAUCACCGGGAGGGACAUUUUCCGCCCGGAAGCAUGGGACCGAAGAUCGAUGCGGCGAUCCGCUUUAUCGAAGGCGGCGGCAAGCGCGCGAUCAUCAGUCAUCUCGAUCAUGCGAUGCCCGCGCUUCGCGGCGAGACCGGAACACACAUCGUACGGAAUGCGUGACGCGGUUUCGCGCCACGGGAAAUAAGCGCAGUCAACCAGGAGAUUAAGCAAGCAUCGCUCGCACGCGGAUUUAAUGAUCGCGCAGAC